rnacentral:rRNA from 1 species
CAGGUUAAAACUCAAAUGAAUUGACGGGGGCCCGCACAAGCGGUGGAGCAUGUGGUUUAAUUCGACGCAACGCUGAAGAACCCUUACACUGGCGCUUGACAUCCAGAGAACUUUCCAGAGAUGGAUUGGUGCCUUCGGGAACUCUGAUGACAGGUGCUGCAUGGCCGUCGUCAGCUCGUGUCGUGAGAUGUUGGGUUAGUCCGUACGAGCGCAACCCCUAUCCCUGGUUGCUAGCAGGUAAUGCUGAGAACUCCAGGGAGACUGCCGGUGACAAACCGGAGGAAGGUGGGGAUGACGUCAGGUCCAUGGCCCUUACGGCCAGGGCUACACACGUGCUACAAGCUGGCGCGUACAGAGGGCUGCCAAC